UACGUAGGGUGCAAGCGUUGUCCGGAAUUAUUGGGCGUAAAGAGCUCGUAGGCGGUCUGUUGCGUCGGCUGUGAAAACCCGGGGCUCAACCCCGGGCCUGCAGCCGAUACGGGCAGACUAGAGUUCGGCAGGGGAGACUGGAAUUCCUGGUGUAGCGGUGAAGUGCGCAGAUAUCAGGAGGAACGCCGGUGGCGAAGGCGGAUCUCUGGGCCUUACCUGACGCUGAGACGCGAAAGCGUGGGGAGCGAACAGG
rnacentral:rRNA from 1 species